rnacentral:rRNA from 1 species
UACAGAGGUCCCAAGCGUUGUUCGGAUUCACUGGGCGUAAAGGGUGCGUAGGUGGCCAGGUAAGUUUGGUGUGAAAGCUCGGAGCUUAACUCCGAAAAGUCAUUGAAUACUAUCUGGCUGGAGGGUCGGAGGGGAGACUGGAAUUCUCGGUGUAGCAGUGAAAUGCGUAGAUAUCGAGAGGAACACCAGUGGCGAAGGCGAGUCUCUGGACGACUCCUGACACUGAGGCACGAAGGUCAGGGGAGCAAACGGG